rnacentral:rRNA from 1 species
UACGGAGGGGGCGAGCGUUAUUCGGAAUUAUUGGGCGUAAAGGGCGCGUAGGCGGCUCUUUAAGUCAAAGGUGAAAUCCCUCGGCUCAACUGAGGAACUGCCUUUGAAACUGAAGAGCUUGAGUCCGGGAGGGGGUAGCGGAAUUCCCAGUGUAGCGGUGAAAUGCGUAGAUAUUGGGAGGAACACCAGUGGCGAAGGCGGCUACCUGGACCGGAACUGACGCUGAUGCGCGAAAGCGUGGGUAGCAAACAGG